rnacentral:rRNA from 1 species
CCUACGGGGGGCUGCAGUAAGGGAUAUUGGUCAAUGGGCGAAAGCCUGAACCAGCAACGCCGCGUGGAGGACGAAGGAUUUCGGUCUGUAAACUCCUUUUGACAGGGACGAGAAGGGACGGUACCUGUCGAAUCAGUCACGGCUAACUACGUGCCAGCAGCCGCGGUAAAACGUAGGUGGCGAGCGUUAUCCGGAUUUACUGGGCGUAAAGGGUGUGCAGGCGGGCUGUUAAGUGGUGCAUGAAAUCUCCUGGCUCAACCGGGAGGGGCUGUGCC